rnacentral:miRNA from 1 species
AGUCACUUUGAUGAUUGUCAAACA